UGCUAGCAUGGAACCCCUAAAACAUUCUGGAGGUGCAGGGAUCAACACUAGCAGAUUUAAUUGCAAGACCAGGGUCUUAAAAUGGAAGAUAUUGAUAUGAACCUAAAUGGAACUACAGGAUCCAAGCACACCCGGGGAAUAUUUGAGUUGACUUUCCAGUGAUGCUAGCCUGCCCUUAUUAAUGGGUGCAUUGCCAUUGGAUGGAGCCCCUAGAACAGCAUCUGGUCACUUAACUCCAAGACCAACUCCCGGACCUACUCCUGAAAAGAUGAGACAAGCAGGCUUGACAAAACAAGAAGACUCAGAAGAUAAAUCUGAUUUUUAUAUCAAGAAGCACUACAAGGUGCCAUGAAGUUUGGCUGACACAUGGAACUAGCCUAGAGAGGAUCAGCAUCUGCUGUCGGUUAUGUAAGAUCUGUUGCAAGAACUUGCGGUAUGUGUGUCUGGUUGAGACAAGAUCUUGCCUGAGAAUGAGUGAGCAGAAGUCCAGUCCACACAAGAGAAAGAGGAAGCCUAUAGAGGAUACUUGAUAGAAGAUACGGUGGCUGGCGUUGGUAGGCUGUUCCAUUCUCCUGGCCAGAGAAACUUAAGUGCUUGCGAAAGGGGCAAUGGAGCGAGGGGGCAUGGUCUCCUGCCCUGAUGGACAUAGAGAGAGCCACGACCGCCUCCGGUGGGCAGAACCAGGAUACCCGCAGCCACCCCGCCAGAAGCAGAGGGGUGGGACAGGAACUGGAACUAGAAAAGGCUGGCCUUCAAGCUCAGUUGGGGCAGAGCAGCUAGAGGAGCAGGAUGUCUCUCCCCUGCUGCUGAAGCCGGGACUUGACGGCCGCUGCUCCCAUGCCAAAGACCUGGAAGGACUGCUGGAACUGCCAGACACCAGGGACACUGAGGAGCUGUUGGGGCUGCCACUUGCUGUUGAUCUGAGUGAGACCAACGACAACCCUGAACCCAGGUACCCCCAGAUUGGGAGUGAAGGAAGGAGCCCAGGAAAACCGAAUAGGGUUUGGCUGUGUGACUGAUUGCAAGCUGGCCAGUGUGUUGCGGUCGGAUUUCUCCACUGACCCAGUGGUGGACUACUCUGCCACUGUUAGGGCCCUGGGCUGGGAUGCAGUAAAGUGGGAGGGCCUGCGUCCCACUACCCCCUGCCACCCACCAUCAGGGAUGGCAGCCUCACCACUUUGUGGUCAGGAGGUCUGCAUCAGUCUGGCCCCCUCUAAACUAUGGCACCAGAUGGUUUGCUGACUCUCUCACCAGAGAGCUAAUCUCCCCUAGACUGCACUGUUGCUCUGCCUGACAGCAGGGAAGAGCCCCAUACCGGAACUGAUUGCUGUCCCGCCCUGAUUGAGGGCCCAGGCGAAUAGACUCUCUACUGCUCUACCUAACUGACUGUAGGUCAGAGACUCUACUGGAUUACUGCCCCAUCCUGAUUGCCCCUGAACCGAAGCACUCCGGAAGUGUUGUAGUGAGGGGGCGUGGGUUCCCGCCCUGACAGAUAGGGAGAGAGCUGUGACUGCCUUAUAGGCAACAAUGACAGGUUUAGAAAAUGGAGGUAUCUGUGUACAGAGCACAUAUUUUUGCAACAGAGACCAAUGUUUUGUUCUGUGUUUGUACAGCAGCUAGCAUAAUAGGGUCUUGGUCCAUGACUGGGGGCUUCUAGGUGCUAUCAUGAUACAAAUAAAUAAUAUCUUAUGAGCAGCAGAUACCCAAGUUUCCUUACACACAUUAUUUAUAUGAAUAUGGUACCAAGGAACCCCAGUCAGGGACUAGAACCCCAUUAUACUAUGGUCUGUAUACACAUACAACAGAGAUGGCUCCAGCCCCAAGGCGCUUACAAAUUAAGUAUAAGACAAGAGACAACAGAUAUAUACAGACAGGCAAGGGAGUACAUGGAAACAGUGAGACAAUGUUAGCCAGCAUGAUAGGCAGUGGUCUCUGCACACUAGCUCCAGUGUGCCUCGACUCUGGUCUCAGAGGCACCACCGAGAGUUGAGGGGAUAAUUCAAUCUUCAGGGUCAUUCAGCUCUUGGCCUCUGCUGAGAUUACAGGUAAGAGUUUUAGUCAGUGACAAAUGCGGUGCUGGCUGUGGGUUUUUUUGGUGUAGACACUGCCCACUAGGAAGUAGACUGAGACCAUUAUCUUAUUUCACAUAGGUUACUCAACUGUCAUGUGGUAAUAAUGCCUGGUCAUGUGGCCUGGACUCAUACUAGCAACCGAGAGGUGAAAGGCUCGUUGUCACUUUGGCAGUGCAUUGAAUUUUCCAGUUCUUGCCUGCCUCCACUCUAACCUCACC